ACACGGGGGGCGCAAGCGUUAUGCGGAAUUAUUGGGCGUAAAGGGCGUGUAGGCGGUUUUAUCGGUCAGAUGUGAAAGCCCAGGGCUCAACCCUGGACGUGCAUUUGAAACAGUAAGACUUGAGUACGGUAGAGGAAAGCGGAAUUCCUGGUGUAGAGGUGAAAUUCGUAGAUAUCAGGAGGAACACCGAUGGCGAAGGCAGCUUUCUGGACCGAAACUGACGCUGAUGCGCGAAGGCGUGGGUAGCGAACAGGAUUAGAAACCCUAGUAGUCC
rnacentral:rRNA from 1 species